UGGGGAAUAUUGCACAAUGGGCGCAAGCCUGAUGCAGCCAUGCCGCGUGUGUGAAGAAGGCCUUCGGGUUGUAAAGCACUUUCAGCGAGGAGGAAGGUGGUGGACUUAAUACGUUCAUCAAUUGACGUUACUCGCAGAAGAAGCACCGGCUAACUCCGUGCCAGCAGCCGCGGUAAUACGGAGGGUGCAAGCGUUAAUCGGAAUUACUGGGCGUAAAGCGCACGCAGGCGGUUUGUUAAGUCAGAUGUGAAAUCCCCGGGCUCAACCUGGGAACUGCAUUUGAAACUGGCAAGCUAGAGUCUCGUAGAGGGGGGUAGAAUUCCAGGUGUAGCGGUGAAAUGCGUAGAGAUCUGGAGGAAUACCGGUGGCGAAGGCGGCCCCCUGGACGAAGACUGACGCUCAGGUGCGAAAGCGUGGGGAGCAAAACAGGAUUAGAUACCCUGGUAGUCCACGCUGUAAAACGAUGUCGAUUUUGGAGGUUGUGCCCUUGAGGCGUGGCUUCCGGAGCUAACGCGUUAAAUCGACCGCCUGGGGAGUACGG
rnacentral:rRNA from 1 species